UGGGGAAUAUUGCACAAUGGGGGAAACCCUGAUGCAGCGACGCCGCGUGAGCGAAGAAGGCCUUCGGGUCGUAAAGCUCUUUUAUGAGGGAAGAUAAUGACGGUACCUCAAGAAAAAGCCCCGGCUAACUACGUGCCAGCAGCCGCGGUAAUACGUAGGGGGCUAGCGUUGUCCGGAAUCACUGGGCGUAAAGGGUUCGCAGGCGGAAUAACAAGUCAGAUGUGAAAGGCAUGGGCUCAACCCAUGUAAGCAUUUGAAACUGUAAUUCUUGAGAAGUGGAGAGGAAAGUGGAAUUCCUAGUGUAGCGGUGGAAUGCGUAGAUAUUAGGAGGAAUACCGGUGGCGAAGGCGACUUUCUGGACUUGAACUGACGCUGAGGCACGAAAGCGUGGGGAGCAAACAGG
rnacentral:rRNA from 1 species